rnacentral:rRNA from 1 species
AGUGAACGCUGGCGGUAGGCCUAACACAUGCAAGUCGAACGGCAGCACAGUAAGAGCUUGCUCUUACGGGUGGCGAGUGGCGGACGGGUGAGGAAUACAUCGGAAUCUACUUUUUCGUGGGGGAUAACGUAGGGAAACUUACGCUAAUACCGCAUACGACCUACGGGUGAAAGCAGGGGAUCUUCGGACCUUGCGCGAUUGAAUGAGCCGAUGUCGGAUUAGCUAGUUGGCGGGGUAAAGGCCCACCAAGGCGACGAUCCGUAGCUGGUCUGAGAGGAUGAUCAGACACACUGGAACUGAGACACGGUCCAGACUCCUACGGGAGGCAGCAGUGGGGAAUAUUGGACAAUGGGCGCAAGCCUGAUCCAGCCAUACCGCGUGGGUGAAGAAGGCAUUCGGGUUGUAAAGCCCUUUUGUUGGGAAAGAAAAGCAGAAGGUUAAUACCCCGCUGUUCUGACGGUACCCAAAGAAUAAGCACCGGCUAACUUCGUG